CAGUCGCCGCGGGAAUACAGAGGGUGCGAGCGUUAAUCGGAUUUACUGGGCGUAAAGCGUGCGUAGGCGGCUUCUUAAGUCGGAUGUGAAAUCCCUGAGCUUAACUUAGGAAUCGCAUUCGAUACUGGGAAGCUAGAGUAUGGGAGAGGAUGGUAGAAUUCCAGGUGUAGCGGUGAAAUGCGUAGAGAUCUGGAGGAAUACCGAUGGCGAAGGCAGCCAUCUGGCCUAAUACUGACGCUGAGGUACGAAAGCAUGGGGAGCAAACAGGAUUAGAUACCCGCGUAGUCCCUGUCUCUUAUAC
rnacentral:rRNA from 1 species